UUCCCUCUAAAAAUGUUUCCCCAAAAUUUCCCCCUAAAAGUUUCCCCCAAAAUUUUCUAAAAGUUCAAAAGGCAGUAACAUCGAUACUCAUCUAUAUAUCUCUUUCCAAAAGUAGUGGAAAAACCUUCCCCAUUCCCAAUUCGUUUCCAUCCCCCAUAGUGAACUCGGCUUCGCGUUGCUUUUGUUACCGAAUCAACAUUGCUAUUGUCUCCUGGGCUGACUGAUAUGGUGUUGUCUUUAUUUUAUUUGGUUGAUUCGCUGUUAUUUUCUCACUUCAUGCUUCGUCUUUUUAAUUGUUUUCUUUUGAUUUGAUAAUAAUAUACCUGAACAGUUGAACUUCGCUCAGGAUCGACAAUCUUCUGUUGUUCGAGAUGAGCGGCUAAGAUCUCCUCUUGCGAUUGUGCAGUCAUGACAGUGAGAGUUUUAUGAGAAAAAUAUUGUUUUCAGUUCAGUUGUUAAAAGAGACUCACGCUGACUCCUAAAACCCUAGACGUCGAAGAAAUUUCUGAUUUUUUCGUUACUGCUUAGGAUUCAUCAGAUCUGGUACUUCUUAUCAGCCUCGCUACUAGCUCAGAGUGCUUGUUGUUGUACGGAGACUUUAAGAUUUGGGCAUUCAGAGUUGUAUAUUCAUGGAAAAGGCAUUGUUACCGAUUGAUUGAUCUUGGUUCGAAGUAAGUUUCCUGCCUAACCUUGUGUGGGGGAAAUCCCCUUAGGAUUUGGUACUGUCGUGAUAUGUGAGCACCGUAUAUGUGAGGUGACGAGUACGUACAUAUGCUAUUUGUUGAAAAACUCGAUUUAUUUUACUGAGUAGCAACUUGUGUUUUUUCUUGAAUUUGAGUUAUGUCGUUUAAAUGAGUAUUAGUCUGUUUUCAUUCCUAAUUGAGCUAUUCCAACAUGUGUAGUUAUCCUCUUUAGUUUAAUAUAGCAUGUCCACGUGAUUAAUUACUUAUUUAAACUUUGUGAAGCAUGCCUAGUUGAUUUUCUGCGUUUCCUUGUUCUUUAUCAGU